rnacentral:rRNA from 1 species
UACGGAGGGGGCGAGCGUUGUCCGAAGUUACUGGGCGUAAAGCGCGCGUAGGCGGGUUGGUAAGUCCGCUGUGAAAGCCCGGAGCUCAACUCCGGAGGGUCGGUGGAUACUGCCAGUCUUGAAGGUGCUAGGGGGAGAUGGAAUUACCGGUGUAGCGGUGAAAUGCGUAGAUAUCGGUGAGACACCAGUGGCGAAGGCGGCUCUGG